rnacentral:lncRNA from 1 species
UAGAAGGGCUUUGGCUGACACUCCUGAGAAAGGCAGGAAUACAUGGAGCUCCUGGUGCUUCGGUUGCUCCCAUCCUUGGUGCAUCUCACGGGAGGGAGUUUCCUUUUCUUUGCUCGUACGAAACCGCCAUAGCUGGGAGGCAAAGCUCACUGGCUGUGCCUUCGAUGCAGGUGGGUUGGCACACAGCAUGCUGUGCUGCUUGGGGUGAGGACAGGAGCAUCCCGGGCACACAACUCCCUCUGCCCUGCUGCUGUCCAAGCGUUCCUGCUUGUGUGUUUUCAGAAGGAGGUUUGGUCAGGGUGAUCUGUGUGGGGGCACCUUGAGUGGCAAUGUGCUGG